UAGGGUAUGGUGUAAGGGUAGCACGAAGAAUUUUGAAUUCUUAGGUUUAGGUUCAAUUCCUAUUAUUCUAG
rnacentral:tRNA from 1 species